GAUGAACGCUGGCGGCGUGCCUAAUACAUGCAAGUCGAGCGAACAGAUGAGGAGCUUGCUCCUCUGACGUUAGCGGCGGACGGGUGAGUAACACGUGGAUAACCUACCUAUAAGACUGGGAUAACUACGGGAAACCGGAGCUAAUACCGGAUAAUCUAUUGAACCGCAUGGUUCAAUAGUGAAAGACGGUUUUGCUGUCUCUUAUAGAGGGAUCCGCGCCGCAUUAGCUAGUUGGUAAGGUAACGGCUUACCAAGGCAACGAUGCGUAGCCGACCUGAGAGGGUGAUCGGCCACACGGGAACUGAGACACGGUCCAGACUCCUACGGGAGGCAGCAGUAGGGAAUCUUCCGCAAUGGGCGAAAGCCUGACGGAGCAACGCCGCGUGAGUGAUGAAGGUCUUCGGAUCGUAAAACUCUGUUAUUAGGGAAGAACAAAUGUGUAAGUAACUAUGCACGUCUUGACGGUACCUAAUCAGAAAGCCACGGCUAACUACGUG
rnacentral:rRNA from 1 species